AUUGAACGCUGGCGGCAGGCCUAACACAUGCAAGUCGAGCGGAGCGGCGGACGGGUGACUAAUGCCUAGGCAUCUGCCUGUUCGUGGGGGAUAAGGUCCGGAAACGGGCGCUAAUACCGCAUACUAGCAGAUGAGCCUAGGUCGGAUUAGCUAGUUGGUGGGGUAAAGGCAUACCAAGGCGACGAUCCGGAACUGGUCUGAGAGGAUGAGCAGUCACACUGGAAAUGAGACACGGCCCAGACGCCUACGUGAGGCAGCAGUGGGGAAUAUGGGACAAUGGGGUAAAGCAUGAUCCAGCCAGGCCGCGUGUGUGAAGAAGGUCUUCGGAUUGUAAAGAACUUUAAGUCGGGAGGCGGUACCAACAGAAUAAGCACCGGCUAACUUCGUGCCAGCAGCCGCGGUAAUUC
rnacentral:rRNA from 1 species